AAUAUAUAAUCUCAAUUGCCUCUUACGAAAUUUGCAAAGCCAAAGAAAGGAUAUAAUAUGAUACAUAAAACUAAAAGCAAUUUGAAAUCAGUCUUGCAAUAUAUUUUCUCUUCAAUGCAAUAUAGAUUUCAUGUGGUCCAUGAAACUUAAAAGAGAUCCAAUCGAGCAUACUACAACAAUGUUAUCAAUCAAGAACACAACAAAUUUCAGACCGGAGACACCUUAGAUCUCGAUGAACUUGGUAUCUGUGACAGAGUUGGCCUUGGCAAUCACAUCUCUUCCAGCAACAUUGUAAACAAAACAGUCACGGACGUUGGACAGUUGGAGUACCAGCAUCAGCCACUAAUUAUAUCUCAAUGGUGGCACAGGAUCCAGUAAGCCCACCAUUUUCCAGCAAGUGGAGCAGCUGUGCUGAAAUUAAAUGCAGGUUGAGAUUAUUUGGUUAGAAUUCCAAUGGGGCUUUGGCACAUACGAUUUCCUAGCAAUGACAACCAGAAUUUUCCAGUGUCCCAAGCAUCUGAAUCAUCUUUACCAUUUGCAGGGGAUGGAUGAGCCUGUACUGAUGGUAUAUACAGCAAUUGCAAGCAUAUGAUCAAGAACUAAGAGCUAGUUCACCAAAUGAAGUGAAAGUUAGAGUUUAUAUUUAUAUUCUUAUUUUGUUUGUUUGGGGACACCUAAAUGCAACAAGUUAUGGACAUCUUACUAACAAAAAUGAACAAUAAUUUCAUAUCAGCAAUUUCCCGAUACUUUUCAAAUUUGACUGAGAAGUAAUUCAAACCCUAAUAGAAUCCCUUUUUUUUCUACAGAAGCUAUUGUUGCUCUUUUUU
rnacentral:lncRNA from 1 species